GAUGAACGCUGGCGGCGUGGAUUAGGCAUGCAAGUCGAACGGUAUCAUCCUUUCGGGGGUGAGAGAGUGGCGAACUGGUGAGUAACACGUAGGUUAUCUACCCUCAAGACGGGGACAACCCAGGGAAACUUGGGCUAAUACCGGAUGUGAGCAACUUUUAGUUGUUUGAAAGGUGGCGUAAGCUGUCGCUUGGGGAUGAGCCUGCGUCCUAUUAGUUAGUUGGUGAGGUAACGGCUCACCUAGGCAAUGAUAGGUAGGCGGCCUUAACGGGGUGGUCGCCCACACUGGGAUUGAGAUACGGCCCAGACUCCUACGGGAGGCAGCAGUCGAGAAUAGUCUACAAUGGUCGGAAGACUGAUAGUGCGACGCCGCGUGAACGAUGAAUCCCUUCGGGGUGUAAAGUUCUUUUAUAUGUGAGCAGUGCUUCUUAUAUUAACAGUAUGGGGAAGAGAUAUUAGCAUAUGAAUAAGCAACGGCUAACUCCGUGCCAGCAGCCGCGGUAA
rnacentral:rRNA from 1 species